GAGGUAAUUGAAUCAUGGGGCAAGUCUUUCCCAUGUUAUUCUCAUGAUAGUGAAUAAGUCUCAUGAGAUCUGAUGAUUUUUAAAAGAGAAAUUCCCCUGCCCAAGCUCUCUCUCUUUGCCUGCUGCCAUCCAUGGAAGACGUGGAUUGCUCUUCCUUGCCUUCUGCCUUGAUUUUGAGGCUUCCCCAGCCACAUGGAACUCCAGCUGCCUUGUUGUGAACUGCCCUACAGAGAGGCCACAUGGCAAAAAGCUGAGCAUGGUCUCUGCCGAACAGCCAUUGAGGACCUGAGGCUCUCAGUCCAACAGCCCACAGUGAAUUGAAUCCUGCCAGUAACCACUGAGUGGGUUUGGGAGAGGAUCCUGGUGAACCUUGAAAUGACUGGAGUCCUGGUUGACACCACAAUUGGAGCUUACAAAAGACUCUGAGCUGGAGGACCUAGUGAAGCCAUAUUUGGAUCUCUGGCCCAUAGAAACUGUGAGGUAAUAAGUGCAUGUUAUUUUAAGCUGCUAAGUUUGGCAGAAGAAGGAGGGGAGUGUAAUUUGUUACAUAGCAAUAGAUAACUGAUACACUCCUAGUUACAAAAGUUUGUCCAGGUAUGUGCAUGUGAGCAAUUGAGCCAAUGGUAAGUAGGCUGAUCCUCGACUUUUCAACUGGUAGAAGGAGAGGGGAGGGAAGGAAAAAAGAAAGCAAGAGAGGAGGUGGCGGGCGUGGAGAGAGAGAGAGAGAGAGAGACUAUUUUCUGCCAUCUAUGAAGCAAAGAAGUUGUUCUAUAGCUGUUGUCAUCUUGCGACUUUGUGGAGGUAACCUGUCUUAAAAGAAAGCUAACACAAAUCAGAAAGCAUAGCUGAGAGAGAGGGAGAUACCAGGUUCUAGGGCAUCAUUUAAAUACCUUCAUCACACUGUGUCUGAAGCCAGUGGAUGUGAAUCACUGGAUUCCCUUUUUUUCUUAAGCCAGUUUCCAUUUUUUUUUGUAACCCAGACUUUGACCUGAUACAAACUGUAAUUAGCUGAUGAUCAAAACUUCAGCUGUCCAAAGAAGGACUUGUCACCCUAAAACAGAUGUUCCAAAUUUUGUCUCAACUGACACAAUUUGGAGCAUCUGUUUACAGCUUUACAGGAAGGGGGAGAAGGUAUUUUUAAGUGUGUGAGCACAAGUUAAAAAAGUAAUUGGAAACUAAGUAAGUACAAAAACAUCUUCAAUCAAAGAAACAUUUUGUAAGCUGAAAUAUUGUUCAUUUUUAUGAUGGUAUGUGUAUAUCUUCAUAUAUAAAACUUCACUGUCAUUAGAAAAUGUCACACAAAAUAACAAAUACACCUUUUUCAAUCUGGUUAUAAAUAUGCAGAAUGGAGUUUAUUUACCAAAGUGUUACACAUUUCCAACUGAUAAUAUAUCAAUAAAAGCUCUCACUCCAAGAUGUCAUUAAAGCCACAUUUGUUCAUUUCUAUUUAUUAUGAGAAAAAAAAAACAAAAUGAAAAAAGUGGAUUUGAGUCAUAUUUCCUGUGAGUUCAUCAUUUGCUGGCAUAUAACACUUGUGAAUUUUAUUCAAUUCAUUUAAAAUGAUUUCUUACAUGCAGCCAGAAAGUUGAGGGUGGCAAGGAAUUCAAAAUGAUCAGCAGGCAUCCAAGAUUUCUCAGGAGACAGAUUUAGAAUCACAACUGAG
rnacentral:lncRNA from 10 species